rnacentral:rRNA from 1 species
CCUACGGGCGGCAGCAGUGGGGAAUAUUGGACAAUGGGGGCAACCCUGAUCCAGCCAUGCCGCGUGUGUGAAGAAGGCCCUCGGGUUGUAAAGCACUUUCAGUGAGGAAGAACGCCUGGUGGUUAAUACCCAUCAGGAAAGACAUCACUCACAGAAGAAGCACCGGCUAACUCCGUGCCAGCAGCCGCGGUAAUACGGAGGGUGCGAGCGUUAAUCGGAAUUACUGGGCGUAAAGCGCGCGUAGGUGGCUGGAUAAGCCGGUUGUGAAAGCCCCGGGCUCAACCUGGGAACGGCAUCCGGAACUGUCAAGCUAGAGUGCAGGAGAGGAAGGUAGAAUUCCCGGUGUAGCGGUGAAAUGCGUAGAGAUCGGGAGGAAUACCAGUGGCGAAGGCGGCCUUCUGGACUGACACUGACACUGAGGUGCGAAAGCGUGGGUAGCAAACAGGAUUAGAUACCCCUGUAGUC